rnacentral:piRNA from 1 species
UUGCAAAGUGACAAAGUCUCCUCUCA